rfam:Sorghum bicolor cultivar BTx623 chromosome 1, whole genome shotgun sequence.
GAGAGAGGGAGGUAUUGGCGCGCCUCAAUCCGAAGGCGUGGCUGAUUUGGCAUGGCAGCCAUGUUCUUGGAUUGAGCCGCGUCAAUAUCUCCGCUUGCUUG